rnacentral:tRNA from 1 species
GGGCCCGUAGCUUAGCUUGGUAGAGCGCUCGGCUGAUAGAACAUUUCAGAUACCGAGAGGUCCUGGGUUCGAAUCCCAGCGGGCCCA